UACGUAGGGGGCAAGCGUUAUCCGGAUUUACUGGGUGUAAAGGGAGCGCAGACGGAACUGCAAGUCUGAUGUGAAAGCCCGGGGCUCAACCGCGGGACUGCAUCGGAUACUGUGGAUCUGGAGUGCCGGAGGGGCAAGCGGAAUUCCUGGUGUAGCGGUGAAAUGCGUAGAUAUCAGGAGGAACACCGGCGGCGAAGGCGGCUUGCUGGUCUGUAACUGACACUGAGGCGCGAAAGCGUGGGGAGCGAACAGGAUUAGAUA
rnacentral:rRNA from 1 species